CAGCCGCCGCGGGAAUACGGAGGGGGCUAGCGUUGUUCGGAAUUACUGGGCGUAAAGCGCACGUAGGCGGAUACUUAAGUCAGGGGUGAAAUCCCGGGGCUCAACCCCGGAACUGCCUUUGAUACUGGGUAUCUCGAGUCCGGAAGAGGUGAGUGGAAUUCCGAGUGUAGAGGUGAAAUUCGUAGAUAUUCGGAGGAACACCAGUGGCGAAGGCGGCUCACUGGUCCGGUAUUGACGCUGAGGUGCGAAAGCGUGGGGAGCAAACAGGAUUAGAUACCGCGUAGUCCCUGUCUCUUAUACA
rnacentral:rRNA from 1 species